rnacentral:tRNA from 1 species
GCUCUAAUAGUAUAACCUAUUACUCUGGUCUUGUAAACCAGAAAUGAAGUCUCCUCUUCUUAGAGCA